GUGGGGAAUAUUGGACAAUGGGCGCAAGCCUGAUCCAGCCAUGCCGCGUGCAGGAUGAAGGCCUUCGGGUUGUAAACUGCUUUUGUACGGAACGAAAAGACUCUGGUUAAUACCUGGGGUCCAUGACGGUACCGUAAGAAUAAGCACCGGCUAACUACGUGCCAGCAGCCGCGGUAAUACGUAGGGUGCGAGCGUUAAGCGGAAUUACUGGGCGUAAAGCGUGCGCAGGCGGUUAUAUAAGACAGAUGUGAAAUCCCCGGGAUCAACCUGGGAACUGCAUUUGUGACUGUAUAGCUAGAGUACGGCAGAGGGGGAUGGAAUUCCGCGUGUAGCAGUGAAAUGCGUAGAUAUGCGGAGGAACACCGAUGGCGAAGGCAAUCCCCUGGGCCUGUACUGACGCUCAUGCACGAAAGCGUGGGGAGCAAACAGGAUUAGAUACCCGAGUAGUCC
rnacentral:rRNA from 1 species